CGGAUACCUUGUGCUACAG
rnacentral:siRNA from 1 species